rnacentral:rRNA from 1 species
GACGAACGCUGGCGGCGUGCUUAACACAUGCAAGUCGAACGGAAAGGCCCUGCUUGCAGGGUACUCGAGUGGCGAACGGGUGAGUAACACGUGGGUGAUCUGCCCUGCACUUCGGGAUAAGCCUGGGAAACUGGGUCUAAUACCGGAUAGGAGCCAUUUUUAGUGUGAUGGUUGGAAAGUUUUUUCGGUGUAGGAUGAGCUCGCGGCCUAUCAGCUUGUUGGUGGGGUAAUGGCCUACCAAGGCGGCGACGGGUAGCCGGCCUGAGAGGGUGGACGGCCACAUUGGGACUGAGAUACGGCCCAGACUCCUACGGGAGGCAGCAGUGGGGAAUAUUGCGCAAUGGGCGCAAGCCUGAUGCAGCGACGCCGCGUGGGGGAUGACGGCCUUCGGGUUGUAAACUCCUUUCGCCAGGGACGAAGCUUUUUGUGACGGUACCUAGAUAAGAAGCACCGGCUAACUACGUG